AUUGAACGCUGGCGACAUGCUUUACACAUGCGAGUCGAACGGCAGCACGGGUGCUUGCACCUGGUGGCGAGUGGCGAACGGGUGAGUAAUACAUCGGAACAUGUCCUGUAGUGGGGGAUAGCCCGGCGAAAGCCGGAUUAAUACCGCAUACGAUCUACGGAUGAAAGCGGGGGACCUUCGGGCCUCGCGCUAUAGGGUUGGCCGAUGGCUGAUUAGCUAGUUGGUGGGGUAAAGGCCUACCAAGGCGACGAUCAGUAGCUGGUCUGAGAGGACGACCAGUCACACUGGGACUGAGACACGGCCCAGACUCCUACGGGAGGCAGCAGUGGGGAAUUUUGGACAAUGGGCGAAAGCCUGAUCCAGCAAUGCCGCGUGUGUGAAGAAGGCCUUCGGGUUGUAAAGCACUUUUGUCCGGAAAGAAAUCCUUGGCCCUAAUACGGUCGGGGGAUGACGGUACCGGAAGAAUAAGCACCGGCUAACUACGUG
rnacentral:rRNA from 1 species